rnacentral:rRNA from 1 species
UACAGAGGGUGCGAGCGUUGUUCGGAAUUAUUGGGCGUAAAGCGCGUGUAGGCGGCCAAGCAAGUCGGGUGUGAAAGCCCUCGGCUUAACCGAGGAAGUGCGCCCGAAACUACAUGGCUUGAGUACCGGAGAGGAUGGCGGAAUACCCGGUGUAGAGGUGAAAUUCGUAGAUAUCGGGUGGAACACCAGUGGCGAAGGCGGCCAUCUGGACGGAUACUGACGCUGAGACGCGAAAGCGUGGGUAGCAAACAGG